GACAGAGGAUGCAAGCGUUAUCCGGAAUGAUUGGGCGUAAAGCGUCUGUAGGUGGCUUUUCAAGUCCGCCGUCAAAUCCCAGGGCUCAACCCUGGACAGGCGGUGGAAACUACCAAGCUGGAGUACGGUAGAGGCAGAUGGAAUUCCGGGUGUAGCGGUGGAAUGCGUAGAGAUCCGGAAGAACACCGGUGGCGAAGGCGGUCUGCUGGGCAGUUGCUGACGCUGAGGAGCGAAAGCGUGGGGAGCGAACAGG
rnacentral:rRNA from 1 species